UUUGUCAAAAAACAAAUCCGCUAGUCAAACUUCAACUUGUAGUGGUUUUAUAAUAUGUUUCUCAAACUUCAAGAAACCCUCACACAUACGUCUGUCUCUUAAAGCAAACCCUCACAAACCUAGUUCCCCCCCCCCCCCCCCCCAAAAAAAAACAUCAGAUCCGGUCGAUUCACAGCGGAUCUAUUUUUUGAACGGCGUUCACAGCGGAUUUAUGAUGUACUCGAACUAUUUCUAGGGUUUAUAAACACCAGGUUUUCAUCCGACGUUACUUUCUCUGGCGGCUAGUUUCAGUUUGCGAAAAGGAAAAAAAACGGAAGGGUUUGUGAUGGUGACGAAGAGAAGACAGUCGGUAGCAGAGGUUGUUGGCGGCGGAGACGAGCGGCCGGUUUGUUGACAAGAUGAACGCGGCGAUUGUUGAUGUCGGCGUCUGCUACUGUUGUUUUUGAUGUGGACAGGUAAUGUGGUCAAUUAAAGAACCUAGGGAAUGAAUCCCGACUGAGGCUGUCGCUACUGAUGUCUACAUUCUCAAUGUUCCACCCACUAUAUCGCCCCAAAAAACCCCGUAUGAAGUUUGGUAUGAUCACAAGCCAUCUCACUGGAACGGGUACGGGUACGGGGACGAUACGGGAACGAGGAACUACAAAACUCAAAAUUCCAAGAUACGGGUACGGCAAUAAAAAAUAUAAAAAAAAAAUACAUUAAACAAAUUCCAAAAAUACUACAUCUUCCAAAGGUAAUUAAAUAUCAAUAAUCAAAUCAUUUUCAAAUUCCGGUUCAUCUAGUGAGAGAUCAGCAAUCGAUAGAGAAUUAGAGAUGAUGAGACUUGAGAGUUUAGAGAUUAGAGAAGCCGAAUAUGAUAGGUCUAUUUAUUUAAUGGCCGGUUGUGGAAUUUGAAAGGGUAAAAACCCUAAUAAUAAAUGGAAACGGGCUGGAUACUUCUACAAGAUACGUCCCCGACAUUGGAAAAGUUUAGGAAACGUCCCCAACGAGUACCCAUGGUGUUUCCGUCCUCGACAAGUACCCGAGACGGGUACGGCCACAUAAAUGGAGUCCCCGUGCUACAUAGUUAUUCAUGUAUGAGUGGGUGUAUUUCUUGCACAACAAAAGUGAAAGCUUUGAGAAAUUUAAAGCUUUUAAAGCAAGAGUGGAACUUGAAUAAGGAAAACGUGUAAUGGAUCUUCGUACAAAUAGAGGGAGGAUAAAUAGCAUUGUCCAAGAGAUGGCAAAGUGUAUAUUACAGUUAAAGAACUUGAGCAAUGAAUCCCAGGUCGAGGUUGCCGCUACUGAUGUCAACAUGCUCAAUGUUACACCCACUAUAACGGUCCAAGAGAAAAUCACGUAGGAAGUAUGGUAUGAUCACAAGCCAUCUGUUUCUGCAAACGAAAGACAAGGAACAAGUCGGUGUGCCACACAUCAAGGGUCAUACACAUGCACAUAUAUAUGCAAGCAUAUAAUCAAGAUCAUUUCAAGCUUAUAAGUCUAAUAACAAAUCUGUUCAUAUAAUCGAUCAAACAUAGCAUAAUCCAAGAUGGCGAUCAUAGAAAUGCGAGUUCAUGUAGAUUGCCCCGGAUGCGAGAACAAGAUCCGAAAAGCUCUUCAAAGGCUCAAAGGUACAUACACAUAUACAUGUAGAGGCUGAUUAUUGUACAAAUUGCCUUAACGUACGCGAUGCAGUAUCAACAUGCGAUUUUUUUUAACAUACGAUUUUGACUUUUUUUUAACAUGCGAAUUUAAUUUUUUUUUACAUGGGAACUUUUGUUAUAGCAUGCGAUAUUUGGUUUUUAGUUAUACAAGAUUACAUGUGUUUAAUAAUAAAGUUAUAGGUGUUAUAUAUAGAAUGA
rnacentral:lncRNA from 1 species